CACGUAGGGGGCAAGCGUUGUCCGGAUUUAUUGGGCGUAAAGAGCUCGUAGGUGGUUCGGUAAGUCGGGUGUGAAACCUCCAGGCUCAACCUGGAGACGCCACCUGAUACUGCUGUGACUGGAGUCCGGUAGGGGAGCGUGGAAUUCCAGGUGUGGCGGUGAAAUGCGUAGAUAUCUGGAGGAACACCGGUGGCGAAGGCGGCAUCCUGGACCAAUACUGACACUUAGGUGCGAAAGCGUGGGGAGCAAACAGG
rnacentral:rRNA from 1 species